AAAAAAUUUUAACUCUAAGCGGUGGAUCACUUGGCUCAUGGGUCGAUGAAGAACGCAGCAAACUGUGCGUCAUCGUGUGAACUGCAGGACACAUGAACAUCGACAUUUUGAACGCAUAUCGCAGUCCAUGCUGUUAUGUACUUUAAUUUUUAAUUAGAGUGCUGCUUGGACUACAUAUGGUUGAGGGUUGUAAGACUAUGCUAAAUAAGUUGCUUAAUAAAUUUAUAUAUUUUAUAUAUAAGUUUAAAGCACAUAUUGUAUUAUUGGAUACUUUUUCUAUAAAGUGUUCAUAAUACUAAUAGCUAAAGAUACAAAACCUCUCUAAUGAAUAAAAUCAAAGUAUUUAUAUAAUUCUCAGAAGUAUAUAUAAUUCUUUUUUUAUUGAGGAAGGUCUAGCAUAAAAUGAUUUUUUUAUGAACUAGAAUUGCCUCUUUAAUAAAUGGAAUUUUUUUUAAUUAUUAUAAAUAUGUGUGAUAAAGAAAUGAUUUUAUUCAGAGGUUUAUUGUAUUUAAGAAAUUAAAAAAAUUUAUUUAUACAACCUCAACUCAUAUGGGAUUACCCCCUGAAUUUAAGCAUAUUAAUGAGGGGAGGAAAAGAAACUAACAAGGAUUUUCUUAGUAGCGGCGAGCGAAAAGAAAUCAGUUCAGCACUAAGUCACUUUGUCUUUAUGGCAAAUGUGAGAUGCAGUGUAUGGAAUGUCAAAUUUCUAGUAUGAGAAAUUAACGAUUUAAGUCCUUCUUAAAUGAGGCCAUUUACCCAUAGAGGGUGCCAGGCCCGUAUAACGUUAAUGAUUACUAGAUGGCAUUUCCAAAGAGUCGUGUUGCUUGAUAGUGCAGCACUAAGUGGGUGGUAAACUCCAUCUAAAACUAAAUAUAACCAUGAGACCGAUAGUAAACAAGUACCGUGAGGGAAAGUUGAAAAGAACUCUGAAUAGAGAGUUAAAUAGUACGUGAAACUGCUUAGAGGUUAAGCCCGAUGAACCUGAAUAUCCAUUAUAGAAAAUUCAUCAUUAUGAUUUUAAUAUUUAUAAUAUUAUAAUAAUAGUGUGCAUUUUUUCUGUAACGGACAUUGUAAUCUAUUAACAUAUAUAUAUUUAUCAAAAGAUCAAUGAUGCGUAAGUUUAUUCAAAUUAUUUUGCUUGCAAUUUAACAUAGAAUAAAUGCUCUUGAUUUGAUAAAGUGUUGAUAGAUUUAUUGUAUAUAGUGCUUAAAUAUUUAUAUUUUAUAAUAGCAUAUUAAUCAUUGAUUUUUAUGUUUAUUAUAUGCACUUAUAUGAUUAACAAUGCGAAAGAUUCAGGAUACCUUCGGGACCCGUCUUGAAACACGGACCAAGGAGUCUAACAUAUUUGCAAGUUAUUGGGUAUCAAAACCUAAUAGCGAAAUUAACAUAACUUUAAUGGGAUUAGUUUUUAGAUUAUUUUAUAGUCUAUUAAUUCAAUCCCGGGGCGUUCUAUAUAGUUAUGUAUAAUAAUAUUUAUAUUAUUUAUACCUCUAACUAGAGCGUACCUUGAGCAUAUAUGCUGUGACCCGAAAGAUGGUGAACUAUACUUGAUCAGGUUGAAGUCAGGGGAAACCCUGAUGGAAGACCGAAACAGUUCUGACGUGCAAAUCGAUUGUCAGAAUUGAGUAUAGGGGCGAAAGACCAAUCGAACCAUCUAGUAGCUGGUUCCCUCCGAAGUUUCCCUCAGGAUAGCUGGUGCAUUUAAAAAUUAUGUAAAAUAAUCUUAUCUGGUAAAGCGAAUGAUUAGAGGCCUUAGGGUCGAAACGACCUUAACCUAUUCUCAAACUUUAAAUGGGUAAGAACCUCACCUUUCUUGGUAUGAAGGUUGUGGUUGUGAUAUAAUGUGCCCAGUGGGCCACUUUUGGUAAGCAGAACUGGCGCUGUGGGAUGAACCAAACGUAAUGUUACGGUGCCCAAAUUAACAACUCAUGCAGAUACCAUGAAAGGCGUUGGUUGCUUAAAACAGCAGGACGGUGGACAUGGAAGUCGUAAUCCGCUAAGGAGUGUGUAACAACUCACCUGCCGAAGCAACUAGCCCUUAAAAUGGAUGGCGCUUAAGUUGUAUACCUAUACAUUACCGCUAAAGUAGAUGGUUUAUGUUCAAUUUCGGUUGGAUUAUAAACUUUGAAACUUUAGUGAGUAGGAGGGUACUAUGGUGUGCUUGGAAGUGUUUGGCGCAAGCCUGCAUGGAGCCGCCAUUGGUACAGAUCUUGGUGGUAGUAGCAAAUAAUCGAAUGAGACCUUGGAGGACUGAAGUGGAGAAGGGUUUCGUGUGAACAGUGGUUGAUCACGAGUUAGUCGGUCCUAAGUUCAAGGCGAAAGCCGAAAAUUUUCAAGUUAUAAUGAAAAAUGAUUAAAUUUUUUUUUAAUUAUUUAGUAAUUAAACACUUGAAUAAUUUUGAACGAAAGGGAAUACGGUUCCAAUUCCGUAACCUGUUGAGUAUCCGUUUGUUAAUAAAUAUGGGCCUUGUGCUCAUCCUGGCAACAGGAACGACCAUAA
rnacentral:rRNA from 1 species